rnacentral:rRNA from 1 species
CGCAAGGCUAAACUCAUAGGAAUUGACGGGGCCGCACAAGCGGCGAGCAUGUGCUUAAUUCGACGCAACGCGAAGAACCUUACCAAGGCUUGACAUACUCCGGAAAGCAUCAGAGAUGGUGCCCCCUUGUGGUCGGUGUACAGGUGGUGCAUGGCUGUCGUCAGCUCGUGUCGUGAGAUGUUGGGUUAAGUCCCGCAACGAGCGCAACCCUUGUCCCGUGUUGCCAGCAGGCGCUUGUGGUGCUGGGGACUCACGGGAGACCGCCGGGGUCAACUCGGAGGAAGGUGGGGACGACGUCAAGUCAUCAUGCCCCUUAUGUCUUGGGCUGCACACGUGCUACAAUGGCCGGUACAAUGAGCUGCGAUACCGCGAGGUGGAGCGAAUCUCAAAAAGCCGGUCUCAGUUCGGAUUGGGGUCUGCAACUCGACCCCAUGAAGUCGGAGUCGCUAGUAAUCGCAGAUCAGCAUUGAUGCGGUGAAUACGUUCCCGGGCCUUGUACACACCGCCCGUCACGACACGAAAGUCGGUAACACCCGAAGCCGGUGGCCCAACCCCUUGUGGGAGGGAGCUGUCGAAGGUGGGACUGGCGAUGGGACGAAG